rnacentral:lncRNA from 1 species
AAAAAAAAAAAAAAUCCAUCCCCAAUAAUGGGAAUGGAUUUUUUCCUUUGAAGGCAGGUGCCAACAUAUAACUGCAUCAGUGUUGAAGUUUUGAUACUAAUACUAAUAUUUUAAAAAUACUAAUUUGUUCCCAGGCUAGGGGUCCAAUCAGAGCUACAGCUGCCAGCCUACACCACAGCCAUAGCAACACCAGAUCCCAACUGCUUCUGCGACCUACACCACAGCUCAUCACAAUGCCAGAUCCAUAACCCACUGAGCAAGGCCAGGAAUCAAACCCACAACCUUAUGGUUCCUAGUCAGAUUUGUUUCCACUGUGCCACGAUGGGAACUCCUUCUUAAAUGUAUUAUUAAAUGUUAUGGCAGUUGUUCUCAGGGGUGACUGGUCGGCAAAAAGGGAUUGAGAGUUGGGAGAGGGGUCUUAGGUUGGGAUUUAUUUAGAAGUAAAUGUUCAGGCCUAAGUCUAGAGGACCAAUUUAACCCUGAUUUUCAGCUCAAUUCUCAAUUGAGGAAUUAUGUUGAAACCAGACCUCAUAUCCAAUGUGUUUAGUGAGCUCAGCUGUUAAAGGCUAUGAUCUUAACCAUGCAGCGUAUUUGCAAUGAAUGUUUACAGAGUAAAUGUGCCUGAGUAUGCUCAUAUAUAUUUAUGUAUAAACUUGCCUUUUUAAAAAGUUACUUGAUAGUUAAUGAUUAAAAAUUGGUAACUCUUCUAUACCUUCAAAGGGAGGUAUGUACUGUCUCCAGCAGAGCCUUCGUUUAAUAUGUAAUUGAUACUUGACAAUUGAAAUAUGGCUUUUAGUGUUAUGCUUCAACAAGUGCUGGUAAUGGUUGUAUGAAACUCUUUAUGGAUCAACAGCUUAUCAAAGGGAAAAGAAACAUAGAUAUAUUGUUAAAAAUAUGUAUGUAUAUGUUCAGAUUUAUAUAUAUUUACAAAUAUUUAAAUAUGUAUCUUACUCCUGAAUGUUAUCUACACUUGGAUAUAUUUCUUGGAUAUUUGCAUGAGUCCUUAAUAAGUGAUGUAGGUAAAUUUUAAAAUGUUCAAAAUAUUUACCAAGACGUUCAAAGUGUUCACAUAAACACUCACUUAUGUUUUCAAGUAAUCCUAUCCUUAGGAAACUUUAUAGAAGCAACCUUUUUGGCUUACUGUGCAUCUCUAAUGGUUAGACGUCCUCAUUGCUCUUAUUUCAGGCACACACUGAGGCGCAAAGUGGGUAACAGGUUAAAUGAAGGCGAAACAGAAGUAUCAGACCCUGAAUCCACAAAUGUACAUGUUAGUAGAGUUUUGUAAUGCCCUAUGCAAUCCAGUAUUUUUAUAAAUAACAGUUAGCAUCACCUUGGUUUUAAGCAAACAGAGGUAGAUUCCAAUUAGAUUAAGCAACAAAAUGAAACAAAACAAACCAACAAACGAAUGGAUUGGUAGCCUCCUGGGUAGUUCACUGUACUGAUGGUAGGAGAUUGGCGAGUAAGACUUGGGAAUGGACAGGACACAGGGUAGAACUGUGGUUCUAGACAACUAGUGUUACUUAAAUAGUUUAUGAGUAUACCACCAUUGGAAGCAAACUUUUCCCAUUCUUUUAAGUCUUUUGAUUAUAUUAUCAAUGUUUGGAUUUCAAGGAGAGAGUAUCCAAUUAGCAUAAAUUGGGAAACGGAGCCUAUCCUGGCAAGGCCACAUCUUCACUAACCAUUGCCAGCAGUGCAGAAGAUACUUUUUGGUUGCGAUUAUCAAAAAGCCAUGGAAUAAUUGGGCUGCUGGAAAUAAAAAUCUAGUGUAUAAUUUCCCAGUCUCCUUCUUCCUAGAAUUUGGCUUCUCCACAAAAUCUGACAAGGACUUUCAAGUGAAAGCAUAUAUUGAGAUUGAUCUUUACAUGAAAAUGAUUAACUUGAUCCACAAAAACAUACAGUAAAAGCAAACGAUAAAGAAAGGAAGCUAAUAAAGGAAAUUGAUUUAUCUGAAGUGCCGUGUGUCUCUUUCGCUUUCUUGCAUAUAGCAGGACAGAAUUAGAGGCAGCCUUGGCUCCAGUGGUCUGCCAGGCCUCAGUAAUAGGUUUCAGCCACGCCUUGUUUGAUUGUAUUUUGUUGGAAUCAAAGGACAAAACAGCUUUGAGUUUGCCUGUGAGAUUGCCUCAUUCUGAAGAUUAGGAACUUUUUAGAGGAAAGCAUUCUUAAUGGAAUAAGAGGAAUUUAAUUUACUGUUUUGAGCAUUGUGUCCUGAUAAAUAUUUUUAUGUCUUCUGUAUGUGCCUGUGUAUGCAACCAUUUAAUAGACAGUCAUUCAUCAACAUUUAUCAAUCUACUCAGUGUGUUUUGAGCACUGGGGGAUGUGCAAUUAUAAUACUAAUUUUUAAGAUAAUUAGCAUGGUACCUGACAUCCACAAUAAGUGCAGAAUAAAUGUUGGCUUUUGUUAUGAUAAUUGUUACUAUAAUAGCUGAUAAUAAUAACCAUUUACUAUGUGAUAGGCUCUGCCACUUAACACUUACAAAAUUGAUUAUUACUGCUUCAUUGCUGAUGAGGAAAUCGAGGCUUAGAAAGGCAAGCUGGUCUUCAGUUGUAGAAAACACAAAUGAGUCUUGCUCAAGGUUUAUCAUCCUCUACCCUAUGGACAUUUUCUUGGAAAUGGGGUAAGAAUGGAGAUAAGACUGUUCUCUGCACUGCUGGAUGUAAAUUUAGCACCAUCCUUGGCCUUUACUGACUAAAUGCCAGUAGCAGCCUUCCAGUUGUGACAGCCAAAAAUGUCUCCAAAACUUGCUAAAUAUCCCUGAGGUUGGGAGGGCCAAAAUGGCAGAAUUGAACCCAGUUAAAAACCACUGAGCUAGAUAGCUUGAGGGAAAAAAAAAAAAAGAAAAGAAAAGAAAAG